GAUGAACGCUGGCGGCGUGCCUUAUACAUGCAAGUCGAGCGAACAGACGAGGAGCUUGCUCCUCUGACGUUAGCGGUGGACGGGUGAGUAACACGUGGAUAACCUACCUAUAAGACUGGGAUAACUUCGGGAAACCGGAGCUAAUACCGGAUAACAUGUUGAACCGCAUGGUUCAACAGUGGAGGACGGUCUUGCGGGCACUUAUAGAUGGAUCCGCGCCGCAUUAGCUAGUUGGUAAGGAAACGGCUUACCAAGUCAACGAUGCGUAGCCGACCUGAGAGGGGUAUCGGCCACACUGGAACUGAGACACGGUCCAGACUCCUACGGGAGGCAGCAGUAGGGAAUCUUACGCAAUGGGCGAAAGCCUGACGGAGCAACGCCGCGUGAGUGAAGAAGGUCUUCGGAUCGUAAAACUCUGUUAUUAGGGAAGAACAAAUGUGUAAGUAACUAUGCACGUCUUGACGGUACCUAAUCAGAAAGCCACGGCUAACUACGUGCCAGCCGCCGCGGUAA
rnacentral:rRNA from 1 species